rnacentral:rRNA from 2 species
AAGAAGGUACUAAAUAUACAUGCAGUCGAACGACUCUGGAUAUUGAUUGGUGCUUGCAUCAUGAUUUACAUUUGAGUGAGUGGCGAACUGGUGAGUAACACGUGGGAAACCUGCCCAGAAGCGGGGGAUAACACCUGGAAACAGAUGCUAAUACCGCAUAACAACUUGGACCGCAUGGUCCGAGCUUGAAAGAUGGCUUCGGCUAUCACUUUUGGAUGGUCCCGCGGCGUAUUAGCUAGAUGGUGGGGUAACGGCUCACCAUGGCAAUGAUACGUAGCCGACCUGAGAGGGUAAUCGGCCACAUUGGGACUGAGACACGGCCCAAACUCCUACGGGAGGCAGCAGUAGGGAAUCUUCCACAAUGGACGAAAGUCUGAUGGAGCAACGCCGCGUGAGUGAAGAAGGGUUUCGGCUCGUAAAACUCUGUUGUUAAAGAAGAACAUAUCUGAGAGUAACUGUUCAGGUAUUGACGGUAUUUAACCAGAAAGCCACGGCUAACUACGUGCCAGCAGCCGCGGUAAUACGUAGGUGGCAAGCGUUGUCCGGAUUUAUUGGGCGUAAAGCGAGCGCAGGCGGUUUUUUAAGUCUGAUGUGAAAGCCUUCGGCUCAACCGAAGAAGUGCAUCGGAAACUGGGAAACUUGAGUGCAGAAGAGGACAGUGGAACUCCAUGUGUAGCGGUGAAAUGCGUAGAUAUAUGGAAGAACACCAGUGGCGAAGGCGGCUGUCUGGUCUGUAACUGACGCUGAGGCUCGAAAGUAUGGGUAGCAAACAGGAUUAGAUACCCUGGUAGUCCAUACCGUAAACGAUGAAUGCUAAGUGUUGGAGGGUUUCCGCCCUUCAGUGCUGCAGCUAACGCAUUAAGCAUUCCGCCUGGGGAGUACGGCCGCAAGGCUGAAACUCAAAGGAAUUGACGGGGGCCCGCACAAGCGGUGGAGCAUGGGGGUUUAAUUCGAAGCUACGCGAAGAACCUUACCAGGUCUUGACAUACUAUGCAAAUCUAAGAGAUUAGACGUUCCCUUCGGGGACAUGGAUACAGGUGGGGGCAUGGUUGUCGUCAGCUCGGGCCGGGAAAUGUUGGGUUAAGUCCCCCAACAAGCGCAACCCUUUAUAUUCAGUUGCCACCAUUAAAUUUGG